rnacentral:rRNA from 1 species
UACAGAGGUCCCAAGCGUUGUUCGGAUUCACUGGGCGUAAAGGGUGCGUAGGCGGUCGGGUAAGUCUGAUGUGAAAUCUCACAGCUUAACUGUGAAACUGCAUUGGAUACUAUCCGGCUCGAGGAAUGGAGGGGAGACUGGAAUACUUGGUGUAGCAGUGAAAUGCGUAGAAAUCAAGUGGAACACCAGUGGCGAAGGCGAGUCUCUGGACAUUUCCUGACGCUGAGGCACGAAAGCCAGGGGAGCAAACGGG